UACGUAGGGUGCAAGCGUUAAUCGUAAUUACUGGGCGUAAAGCGUGCGCAGGCGGCUUUGCAAGACAGAUGUGAAAUCCCCGGGCUUAACCUGGGAACUGCAUUUGUGACUGCAUGGCUGGAGUGCGGCAGAGGGGGAUGGAAUUCCGCGUGUAGCAGUGAAAUGCGUAGAUAUGCGGAGGAACACCGAUGGCGAAGGCAAUCCCCUGGGCCUGCACUGACGCUCAUGCACGAAAGCGUGGGGAGCAAACAGG
rnacentral:rRNA from 1 species